AUAUUGUCUUGUCUCAUGUUUAAUAUGUGUUAAACAUAGUUGAAUCACUACCAGAAGUCUGGGUAAAAUUUGUUUAAAGCUCUUGCUCUUUAUCUAGAUUUCUGUUGUGGGUGGGAUCAAUUAUUAUUUAAAGCUUAAUUUUCUAAUGACUUCUGAAAUUUACAGAUUUAUUUUUUACUCUCCGUUGAAUGAAGAUUCCUAGCAGAUCAUCCGCACUGUUGAAGGAAGAAGGAAAAUUCAAUUUUCUCCUAUUUAGAUGCACAACCACGGAGUUCUUGCUGUGAAACGCAUCAAAUAUGAAAUUGGGCUAUGCUCCUUGAUUAUAGUUCUCCAGUUACAUGAUAAUUACAGGUUGCGAUUACAGGUUUAGUUGUCUAAAGUGUAAGGAUUCAGACCGUAACCUCCAAGCUAAUCCAGCCAUCUAGACUCUCUCAGGUCAGCUGGAUGUGUUAAUGUGCCACCACCAUGACUUUAUGGAUGCUGCCCUCUGCAAGGUCAGUACGACAUCUAGUGGGUCAUAGCUUCCUUUUGGAGGUGUUUU
rnacentral:lncRNA from 1 species